GACCACGUAGCUCAGUUGGAAGAGCAUUGGGCUAGUAUUCCAAAGGUCGUAGGUUCGAAACCCAACGUGGCCG